rnacentral:rRNA from 1 species
AGCGAACGCUGGCGGCAGGCCUAACACAUGCAAGUCGAGCGCCCCGCAAGGGGAGCGGCAGACGGGUGAGUAACGCGUGGGAAUCUACCCAUCUCUACGGAACAACUCCGGGAAACUGGAGCUAAUACCGUAUACGUCCUUCGGGAGAAAGAUUUAUCGGAGAUGGAUGAGCCCGCGUUGGAUUAGCUAGUUGGUGGGGUAAUGGCCUACCAAGGCGACGAUCCAUAGCUGGUCUGAGAGGAUGAUCAGCCACACUGGGACUGAGACACGGCCCAGACUCCUACGGGAGGCAGCAGUGGGGAAUAUUGGACAAUGGGCGAAAGCCUGAUCCAGCCAUGCCGCGUGAGUGAUGAAGGCCCUAGGGUUGUAAAGCUCUUUCAACGGUGAAGAUAAUGACGGUAACCGUAGAAGAAGCCCCGGCUAACUUCGUGCCAGCCGCCGCAGUAAUAC